rnacentral:rRNA from 1 species
GAUAAACGCUGGCGGCGCACCUAAGACAUGCAAGUUGAACGGACUUAAUCGAAAUAUUUAUAUUUUGAAGCGGUUAGUGGCGGACUGGUGAGUAACGCGUAAGGAACCUGCCUAUUAGAGGGGAAUAACAGUGAGAAAUCAUUGCUAAUACCGCAUAUGCCAUAGAUAUCACAUGAUAACAGUGGGAAAGGAGCAAUCCGCUAAUAGAUGGCCUUGCGUCUGAUUAGAUAGUUGGUGGGGUAACGGCCUACCAAGUCGACGAUCAGUAGCCGGACUGAGAGGUUGAACGGCCACAUUGGGACUGAGAUACGGCCCAGACUCCUACGGGAGGCAGCAGUCGGGAAUAUUGCGCAAUGGAGGAAACUCUGACGCAGUGACGCCGCGUAUAGGAAGAAGGUUUUCGGAUUGUAAACUAUUGUCGUUAGGGAAGAGAAAGGACAGUACCUAAGGAGGAAGCUCCGGCUAACUACGUG